rfam:Elusimicrobia bacterium RIFCSPLOWO2_12_FTLL_59_9 rifcsplowo2_12_scaffold_20349, whole genome shotgun sequence.
GGGCAGGUGGCGGAACUGGCAGACGCGUACGGCUCAGGACCGUAUGGUCGAAAGGCCUUGGGGGUUCAAGUCCCCCCCUGCCCA